UACGGGGGGGGCAAGGGUUGUUCGGAAUUACUGGGCGUAAAGGGCUCGUAGGCGGCCAACUUAGUCAGACGUGAAAUCCCUCGGCUUAACCGGGGAACUGCGUCUGAUACUGGAUGGCUUGAGUUUGGGAGAGGGAUGCGGAAUUCCAGGUGUAGCGGUGAAAUGCGUAGAUAUCCGGAGGAACACCAGUGGCGAAGGCGACUUUCUGGCCUGUUCUUGACGCUGAGGCGCGAAAGCUAGGGGAGCAAACGGG
rnacentral:rRNA from 1 species